rnacentral:rRNA from 1 species
UACGAUGGAGGGCUAGCGUUGUUCGGAAUCACUGGGCGUAAAGCGCAUACGGUAGGCGGAUCUUUAAGUCAGGGGUGAAAUCCCGAGGCUCAACCUCGGGAACUGCCUUUGAUACUGGGGAUCGUCGAGUCCGGGAGAGGUGAGUGGAACUGCGAGUGUAGAGGUGAAAUUCGUAGAUAUUCGCAAAGAACACCAGUGGCGAAGGCGGCUCACUGGCCCGGAACUGACGCUGAGGUGCGAAAGCGUGGGAGCAACAGG